rnacentral:misc_RNA from 1 species
AAGUCGUAACAAGGUUUCCGUAGGUGAACCUGCGGAAGGAUCAUUACAAGAAACGAGGCCGCGUGCGCUCGCCCGCCCGGCCCCGCUCCUUACCUUGCCUACUGCACCGUUUGUUGCUUCCUGGCGGCGGACUGCCCGCCGCCAGGGACGUUGAUACAACCCUGUAUAGAAGCAUUGAAGCUCUGAGAAAACGCGAAAUCGUACAACUUUCAACAAUGGAUCUCUUGGUUCUG